GAUGAAGAACGUAGCGAAAUGCGAUAAGUAAUGUGAAUUGCAGAAUUCAGUGAAUCAUCGAAUCUUUGAACGCACAUUGCGCCCGCCAGUAUUCUGGCGGGCAUGCCUGUUCGAGCGUCAUUACAACCCUCAGGCCCCCGGGCCUGGCGUUGGGGAUCGGCGGAGCCCCCCGUGGGCACACGCCGUCCCCCAAAUGCAGUGGCGGUCCCGCCGCAGAUUCCAUCGCGUAGUAGCUAACACCUCGCGACUGGAGAGCGGCGCGGCCACGCCGUAAAACACCCAACUCUUCUGAAGUUGACCUCGAAUCAGGUAGGAAUACCCGCUGAACUUAAGCAUAUCAAUAAGCGGAGGA
rnacentral:misc_RNA from 1 species